rnacentral:lncRNA from 1 species
ACUCAAUUUUCCCUUACAACUCCAAAAUGACAGAUACUAAAAGACAUGGGUUUUAAGCAUCUUGACUCACAGAAGAAAAUCCAGGAAAUAGUCUCUUUCCACAGGUACGCUGGCCUUCAGAUGUUCAAGUGAGUCACCUUGACUGGCAAAUAGAAUUGAACCAGGGUUCCUCUUUCUUUAAAUCCAUUUGCUCCACCCAGUACGUAAUUUAUAUUCAAAGUGAAGUCCAUAUCAUCUCCUCUACCCCCAGACACACACACUUCAUUCCAGGUUUGAAUAAUCAAAACUUAAUGGCCUCAUUUUGACAGAUAGAAAUACUGCUUUUGCAGAUUUCAAAUAUUGAAGCCAAAAUAUUUAGGAAUAAAGGAAUUUUUCCUAGUCCAGAGACCCUUUACAUAGCUGACUAUUUAAAUUCGGCAAAACCAGUGGUAUUUCUCAUCUACAAAACCAAUAAUAUAUACAUUUAUUCAAGGAAAACAUUUUUAUUUCUAGCCUAUUUAGUCAAGUGUUUUUAGGUGCUGGUUAAUCUAAGACAGUGAAUAGCUUUCAGUGAAUUGAAUGGUCCGGAAUCAACUUUUACCUGAAGGCAAUUACUCCCUGCUAUGAGAGGGCAGCCUAAGGAUGUUUCAUUUGAAUCUUUUUCUUCGUAGUUUUGUGUUUUCUUAGCUUGGUUAUGUUUUACUUGCUUCCCAAAUUGGACAAAGUUUUUUGUUUGUUUGUUUAGGAAUUAUAUAGGUCCUUUAUCUCUGAAUAUGAUCUUUAUGCCCAAAGGUUGUUAGACAGGAUGGAUGACUUAAUCAGGAGUCCUGGAACUUUUGUCACCCCCCAGGAAAAUAAUUAAAUACACAUGUUUAUACUCAGAUGCAAAUUUCCUUAAACGGCACAAUAAUUAUGCAACACCUGGUAAUCUACUUUGACAAUGUUAUAAUUGCAUCCUGGAGACCCACAAACCU